UCCACUUGGCUACAUCCGCC
rnacentral:tRNA from 56 species